GGGGCCUGAGCAAUAGGGGAGGCCAUGGGGCAGGAUCUGAGUCCCAGCUUUGCCAGAGUUGGGGUUCUCUGGAUCUCAGUUACUCAUCUGUGAAAUGGGCUAAUGUUAUCUAUAGGCUGGGCAGUUGUGCGGCUGAAUGAGUUCCUGGGUACCACAGGAAAUUCCCUGUCAGACCUGUGGCAGGGAAUGAGCCUGGGCAUUGGGCAAAGCAGGAGCACUUCUUGCCAUCAACCAACCUGCACAGGGCGCAGAGGAGCUGUGGUUCCAGCAGUUUCCAGCUGACCUGGAAGUGGCUCCUGUUCUUGGAAAGCAUCUGUAUGGAUUUGGAGGGUAAGAAGGACCAUCUCAUGCCUACACAGUCUCCCAUGUGGCUGUCAGAGAUUCACCAUUGCAUUGGCUUACACAGCCCUGACUCUUCAAGGUAAAUGUGUUUGUUGGACACUUUUCUGAUAGCAGAUUUGACUAGAGAGGAGCAGAGGGUAAGUGUAAGCAAGUGUGCACUGACCCUAAGUGAGAGAAGGUAUUGUCAUGUGGGGAGGAGUGGCCCCAGGAUGGACUAGAGAGGCCCCAUUUCUGUUUUGUCCCCAGUUCUGCUCAGGGCUGGGAGGCACAGGGCACUCUCCAUGGGGAACCCAGCCACCUGGCUCUGAUUUCAGGACCAAACCUUUCCUCCUCAAAGCCAUUCACUCCAUGCCCGUCUCUGGGCCUCCUGCUCCCUUCGAUGCAAGGGAGGAUGAAGGGCCCAACUGGAUAGGAAGAAUGUAGGAGACCCUCCUGUUCCUCCCCAACCUCUGGGCUGUGGGACGGUUUGCAUUCUCUUAGAGCAGGGAUGGUGGGCCUCUGGACUGCCAUGGGCUGCCCUGUGGGGGUCACUCAGCCAUUGUCUGGGCGGCCCUGGUGUGUGCAGGGCAUGUGAUGGUGCACACAAGUGUACCUUGGCCCAGGAAUUCCCAGGCCAGCAUGUCAUCCCUAGUCCCAGGGGGCUCCUAGCGGUCCCAGCAGACCUGCUGGGUCUCCUUCCCAUAACCCAGAAACUUAAGUUCCCACCAGCCAAGCCCUGGUUGUCAAGGUCUCCGGAGGGGCUGGUGAGAAAGGAAAGAAGUGCUGCAUAGCUUCCUCAAGCUUAUUGCUUCCCAUGCUCCUGUGGAGGGCGAGGCAGAAACACUGCUCCAGCUUCCCUCCUGCAACAGGGGAAGAAGAGGUCAAAUAGGCAUUCUGCACUCAAGCAAUGACGCUGACACCAUCAGCCACAGGCCUGGUGGACCCACCACCCCUGGCUGCCAGAGCCAGGCCACCUGCCCUGCGUUUGCCCCUCACACCAGUUUGGGGCCAUAGCAAGCCCUGAUCACAGACCCAGAUGAGACACUUUUCAAGGAGAAGGUUGCACAUGUCAACGUAAGAAAUCUCCAAACUGGUAGAUAUUUUUUAUGAGUUUAUUUGAGCCAAAGUAAUGACAAUAGCCAGGAAGAAAAACCU